UAUGCAAUACUCUCUCGCUCCUUUGAUUCCUCUGUUCCCAUGGAAGAGCCUUCUUCCUACAGAGGCGUUGCUCUUGGUGGGGUUGGCACUGGCGCUGUGCAGAGCCUCUUGCUUAGCCCCGUCGAGCUCAUCAAGAUUCGUCUUCAGCUGCAGCAGAGCAACAGCGGUCCCAUCAGCUUGGCUAAGACCAUCCUUAGGAGAGAAGGGCUAAAGGGGAUUUACAAAGGCCUCACCAUAACUGUUCUCAGAGAUGCUCCAGCUCACGGGUUUUACUUCUGGACUUACGAGUACGUACGAGAAAUGCUUCAUCCCGGCUGCAGGAAGAGUGGAGAAGAAACUCUUAGGACCAUGCUGGUCGCAGGUGGCCUGGCUGGUG
rnacentral:lncRNA from 1 species